GAAGUCGUUACUUCAACCCUCUGGGAGGAGGACGCCGAAGGUGGGGCUGAUGGCUGGGGUGAAGUCGUAACAAGGUAGCCGUACCGGAAGGUGCGGCUGGAUCACCUCCUAACAGGGAGAACCAACUUCAAAUGAUGAUCACUAUUUUUAUGUGUUCCAUUUGACUGUUCAACCCUAUGGUCGAUCGGUACCUCAAUGAUUGAGAUGUAAAUCUCUUUCAUCUCGGUCCUUAAGCUUGUCUAGGUCACUAUCCCAUGGCUGUUAAGCUAUGGAGGAUGGGCCCGAGAGGGCUCCUGGGCCAUUAGCUCAGGUGGUUAGAGCGCACCCCUGAUAAGGGUGAGGUCCCUGGUUCAAGUCCAGGAUGGCCCAUCGGGAUUGGGGGUUUAGCUCAGCUGGUAGAGCGCCUGCUUUGCAAGCAGGAUGUCAGCGGUUCGAGUCCGCUAACCUCCAUCAAUUCUGAUGAAGGAAACAGCACGGCGCCUCGUUGAUCUAGAUACACGGGUUUUGGUGAAUCCAGCCUCGUUUGAUUCUUGAAAGAGCUCAAACGAUGCUGGACUCAGCAAUGGGUUCGGCAAGAACCUUGACAACUGCAUAGGUUAGUCUGGAAAUAAGCAUCUCACAGAGAUGAUCCAGCAUUUUAUUGACAACUUAGGUUGUUGAUAUGGCUGUUUCAUUGAUUCUGUGGAAGCCGAGAUCUGGUUGUUUCGACAAUCAGAUAUUGAAAAUGGUCAAGUUACAAAGGGCUCACGGCGGAUACCUUGGCACACAGAGGCGAUGAA
rnacentral:misc_RNA from 1 species